AUUGAACGCUUGCGGCAGUCCUAACACAUGCAAGUCGAACGAGUGGCGGACGGGUGAGUAAUGUCUGGGAACCUGCCUGAUGGAGGGGGAUAACUACUGGAAACGGUCGCUAAUACCGCAUACCAUCGGAUGUUCCCAGAUGGGAUUAGCUAGUGGGUGGGGUAAAGGCUCACCUCGGCGACGAUCCCUAGCUGGUCUGAGAGGAUGACCAGCCACACUGGAACUGAGAGACGGUCCAGAGUCCUACGGGAGGCAGCAGUAGGGAAUAUUGCACAAUGGGCGCAAGCCUGAUGCAGCCAUGCCGCGUGUAUGAAGAAGGCCUUCGGGUUGGAAAGUACUGUCAGCGGGGAGGCGUUACCCGAAGAAGAAGCAACGGCUAACUCCGUGCCAGCAGCCGCGGUAAUUA
rnacentral:rRNA from 1 species